rnacentral:rRNA from 1 species
UGGUGGAGUGAUUUGUCUGGUUAAUUCCGUUAACGAACGAGACCUCGACCUGCUAAAUAGUUCGGCGAAUUCUUCGGGAUUCGUACGUGACUUCUUAGAGGGACUAUCGGUGAUUAGCCGAUGGAAGUUCGAGGCAAUAACA